UUGCUUUUAGUUUCCGUGUUUUGGUGUUUUGUUUGUUCGUUUUUUUUUGUUUUGUUUUUACGACAAUGCCUUCUAGGGGAACAGUGUCGCUGGGCUGGGCGGUGGAGAGACACCUUUGGCACCAUCGUGCGAUCUCAUGCACCCUACCAGUGGAAAAUCCAUUUGGGAUUGCCCAGUGCACACAGUAGACAUGGAAAUUGAUGAUCAGCAUCCCCAGAAAGAUGAAGCAUUGGAAAGCACUGCAUAGCUCCAUGUUAUCAAUCAAUUAAUGUCUUCAGUCCUUUAAUGUCCUCUGGACAGCUGGGAUGCUUGGGAGAAGACUGUUGACAAGUCUUGUACGUGUGGAAGAC
rnacentral:lncRNA from 1 species